rnacentral:lncRNA from 1 species
AUGCGAAGUACUUACCGUUCCUGUCUCAGCAGUGAGACCGCUGGUAUCAUCGCCCUUGUCAGCAUCAUUGUCAAUGUAAGAAGGAAUUCGACUCUUUUGGUGGAUGAUCCAAAAUCAGAAGAUUUGUGUGGAUCAUCCAGUGACCGUCGCCUUUGGACCACAGGCUGUCCCAGAAUCCUUGCAUGGAGAGAGAGAACUUGGAUAUGCAUCCGGCUGGCUUUGAGAAGAGAAAAUCUUGCUGACCUUGAUCAAGGUGGAUCUGAGGAGUUCCUAUUGUGGCACAGCAGAAACAAAUCCGACUAGUAUCCAUGAGGAUGCAUGUUUGAUCCCUGGCCUCGCUCAGUGGGUUAAGGAUCUGGCAUUGCUGUGAGCUGUGGUGUAGGUCACAGACGUUGCUUGGAUCUAGCGUUGCUGUGGCUGUGGCAUAGGCCAGCCACUGCCGCUCUGAUCCAGCCCCCAGCCUGGGAACUUCAUGUGCCGUGGGUGCAGCCCUAAAAAAAAAAAAAAAAAAAAAAAAAAAAAAGAUGGAUCUGACUAUAAUCAAGAAGGCGUUUCCCCAUGAGCAGCUGUUCCACCUGUGUUCUCUGAGGUCCACACUGGCUGUCCUUGCCUGUAGGACAUUUUGCUCUAUUGCAUUUUUUCUGCAUGUGGAAGUACUAUAACGGCUAAGUGACAUUUCUGCCUCUCACCAUCCUUAUUUCCUUUGUGGGAACUUCCUUUCUCUUUUCUAUGUGUUUCCAGGGGGCUGCCAAUCAGGCCGCGCUGUCCUCCAGUGCAGACCCGGACACCUGACCCAAGCUGGGCCAAAUCUAGUGCUACACCCCCCUUGCAUCUGCGCUUGCUCCAGGGGCUGCCAGAGUUGACAUCUCCUCUGUCCUCUGAUUGCAUUGAGAUGGAAAUUGCAGGUCACCAAGAGACAGACUAAUCAGAGUGUUUUGCUCUUUCUCCAUCUCUCCAAAAUCACAAUGCAAGAUUUUGCUCCUAUUGUUCCUAUUCCUACAUGAAGGUGGAUUCUUCAGUUGCUCUGAUGAGCACAGAUCCCUGGAGCCGGUAUGGUUUACCCAGUGACAGGGUCAGAUAACAAAACGUCUGCAAACAUGACCAGAAAACCACUUCAAAAGAUUGGAAUGUUAUGACCUUUUUAAUGCCUUAGGGCAGAAACAAGUCCUGUUUGUUCAUUUGUUUAUUAUCUUAUUUUAUCUUAUUUGGGACACCUAUAGGGCUUUUCACUGAUCUUUCAUAGAAACAGACAUUGGUAGGAGUUCCCAUUGUGGCUCAGGGGGUUAAGAGCCUACCAUAGUGGGCAUCCAUGAGGAUGCAGGUUUGUUCCCUGCCCUUGUUCAGAGGAUUAAGGAUCCGACGUUGCCGCAAGCUGUGGUGUGGGUCACAGCUGCAGCUCUGAUUCGAUCCCUGGCCUGGGAACUUCCGUAUGCCACAUGUGUAGCCAUUAAAAAGGGGGAAAAAGAAUAAAGAAAGAAAAAAAGAAACUGACA